GCUGCCCCCUCCGAGCCCCGGCUGCCCCCUCCGAGCCCCGGCCGCCCCCUCCGCCCGCGCCCGCUUCGGGCGCUCGCGGAAAGUUUCCGCCGCCGGGAAGGCCCCGGGCAGCGGGAGCGGCGGCCCCGGGCAGCGGGAUCCGGGGGGCGGCGGUUCAUCCCCGCCGGGCUCCGACCCGCGCUGCGGUCUCGCCGCGGAGAAAAGCAGGGCGAUGAAGUUGCCGCCGCCCCGCAGCGCUGCUGUCGGCUGCAUCCCCCCCGCGCCGGCCCGCGUCUCUGCGCCGUGCGCUUUUUGGUCGAUAAAAUAGCUAGGGGAGCGCCGGGGUGUCCGCCGGGCUUGCGCCUUUCCGAAGGGGCGACGCGAGACCCCGCGGUUUCUGCUCCUCCCCGAGCCCGAAACACCAUCGCCAGCCCAGGGGCAGCUCUGCAGCCUCGACAUCCCCGCAGCGAGGGGACGGCGGAGUCGCCGAGUCCCGCCAGCGCGGUUACGGCAGCGCGGUGCGAGGCCUGGAGGCCGCUGGCUCCGGCUUUCUUCGGUGCCCCGGUGCCGCUCACGCUGUGCCCUCCGGACGAGGGUCCCUCCUUGGGAAGCGGUGCCCGCAGGCUGCUCCCCUUCCACGCCGCGCUCCAGCCACGGUUGCGGAAAGCUCCCCAUCCCCUUCCCCCAACUCCUCUCCCGACCGGGAGCAUCGUGCGCUUGGAGGGAGAUCUGUUUACUGCAGCUGGUCAUCAAAAAUUAAAUGUCGUUUCCUUUGUGAUUUAGCGGCUUCUUCCGUGACUCCUGGCCUGUCUCUCUCCCCCACCCACCGUUAGGCUAUUUUUAACGAACCCAGGGGGAUUGCACGCUUUCACUCGCCUUCUCCUGCAGCUGGAAAUGCAAAGUGCACGAUGGUGUUUGGGUUUUUUUUUUUUGAAGUUUGUUUCUAGAUGGUGUCGUCUGUCAGGGCAGUGUUGUGAUCCGAUGGCUUUGUUGCCCUCGUAAGAAAUGAUUAGCGGUGACAGGCACGUAUGGCUGCUGUCUGGGUACCUACCGUUUCUUACCCUGUGGUGAGAAACACGGAGUUUAUUAUGGAAAGACUUGAGUCUUGCUUCAUACGGCCCCAGUGCGUUUUAUGCAGAGCUCGGUCAGAAGACUGCAUUUUUUUUCUUUUUAAAGCAAAAUAAACAAAACCGCUGGGAGGCUUGUGCCUGGCUUCAGAUCUAGCUCAGGCUGAUAGUGUCUUAAAGGUCAUAGGAUUUGUGCUUGGCCUGCGUGAAAUAUGGCCCAAGUCUAAACCCCAGGGGAUUUUGUGGCAUUUAGUAUGAAUGUGCUGGAGAUUUACAACAGGCCAGCUAUUGCAUUAAAUGAUCAAUAACUUUUGCUGCAAGUAGAUAAGAGGCUGAACUAUUGCUUACGUGAUGGUCUCCCAUGGGAGUGUUAGGCACUCCGGUUCUGGUGGAGGUUCCCAAGCUUUCAGAGCCCUAUCUAAGAUGUACCUGAAGAAAAAGCCCUGCCUCUUUCACUAAAAUUUCUUUCUCCAGUUCAGGGCGUUUGCUAAGGCUUCAGCAGAAAAAAUAGUCUGUGGGUAAACUUUGCUGCUGGUGGCCGUGAUGCAAAAACCUCUCGCUCAGCUCGAGCAAGCAAAGUGUCUGAACACUGCUGCAGAAGAGGAGCAGAGGAGAGCACAUGACGUACAAGUCUGUUCUUGGGCAUCCCUGCUGCGACUCUUCUUCUGUGUGAUUUAUGCUGAUCCUGAUGCUGACGUAACGCACUGAUGUUGAUCUGGAAAAGAUGGUGAUCAUCUGAUGAUCCUGAAAGUGUCUUGAAAUUAUGAAUAGAUCCAACAUUCAGACAAGAGUCCAAGGUUUCCAUCCAGUUUCCUGCUGGGUUUGUAUAGAAUAAUCAUCCUGAAGAAAAGAGAAACAAUCCUUAGUACACCGGAAAAGUGAUUCUUGUUUUCUAAUGCAGCUGUUAAUAUGUUUGAGGUUGACUGAUUCUGCUGAUAUAAAUUGUUAUCCGUGGCCUCUUAAUGGCAGUUAUUGAUUUCAUUCUGUGUGCUGAUACUGAACUCCAGGGGCAGGAGCACUGAUCUUCAUCUGGACUGUUUUACUGCUUUUAAGCUCAGUUCUUGAUCUUUACCUUAGUGGUAUCUGGGAUACUGUCUUGUUGUUGUGUGGGUACAUGUGAGAGUUGAUUCUAACUCACUCUUGCCUUUAGGGUCACUUCUGCAUCCUUAGCUGUGGAAUUUGAGUAGCAAUGUUGAUGUAGUCUGUUUUUAUGGAUAUUGGCCAUAACUUGAACAUAACUGCACGUAUUUUAGACACCAGCACGAAUAUACACACGUAGCAAUAUUGGCAACUGAAGUAAUCUUGUGGUAGUGAGCAGGACUUGCACGUUCUCAGUUUACUGAGUAGACGAAAGGUGUUUCUGUUGGCAGGAGUCGGCCAAGUACCCCGCUGCGUGGCUGUUUCCCCUCUAGUGUAAGAAUUUUAUCUAUGUUUUAACUUCAUGUAAAACAGAGAGCAACCUCGCUGAAGGGAGAGGUUCUGCUUUCCCCUGAAAUGUGCUCAGGGGGCAGGAAUUGCUUUUGUGUGCUUUAAAACAAACCGUUGGGGAGACAGGCUUUGCUUGGAGGCUUAGAGGAGUCUUGGGAGGCACAGGAUUGGAAACGGCCUGCUCGUGGGAUGGGACACUCGCGUCCGGGGAGGCUGCCCCAGGAAGAUGGAGCUGAAUCGGAGUUGUCGCCGCGAUGCAAUUGAACCGGCUGUCAGCUCCAUCGGGUGUUCACUCUGCUGAGACAGCUUUGUACGGCAGUAACACUCACCUCUGGGUUACUUGGUUUGUAAAGACUGAGUAAAAGCAAAGCAGAAAUCAGUAUAAAAUCACAUCCUUUCUAGAUAACGAAUGAAGAUUCUGGAAAGCCUAAUCUCCUUCUGAAGCCAAAAGGGGUGAGAUUGCUUAAUACCUUGCAGCCCCAGGCUGUAAGCCUUGGAGGGUGUUCAAGCUUUGUGGUUGCUUAUUGGCAAAGCAAUACUUAGUUAGGCAAUGUAAUUCUCCACAUCACAGUAUAUCAAAUGUUUCCCCAAGGCACUGUUCUCCAUUAAGUUUACAUUCAAUAGUAUGUAUCUGUGAGGAAGAAUUAUCAUAUGCAAUUCAUGUCUAAGUAAAGGCAGUUUACAAGUGUAUUUGAAGGGAUGAAUUUCUUCAUUUAUGACAAAAUACCCUUCACAGACCAUUUCUCAUAUACCUGAGUCAUUCUGAGCCUUGUCACAUGUGAGAGCAGAAAGUGGUUGCUGAGCUGCCCAUUUAUAGGUUUUCAAAUGCUUAAGAGUUACUACGUGGUGUUAUCUUUGGUGUGUGUCAUUGGUUGCAAGGCAGUGUAUUUGCAUGAGAUCAUGGGUUUUGCUUUAUACACAGUGUGUGAUAAAGGUGACUGUAUUUGUCGUGGUUCAUUGCCAGGGUUCUCGUAAGCAGAGACAACCCAACUUACUGGCAGUUUAUUAUUAAGAGAUUCAGCCAAGAUAUUAUGAUUGCAGUCUUAGUCUGGCUUCCUAGUUGAAUUUCACCUGAAAUCACGUGAGUUACAGCACAAUUUUCUUGCUGAAUUUGGAAGUCUUGUGCUGAAAGAUGCUCUUUUCCUUUCAUCUUUCUCAGCAUGAGCUUUGUAUUGGUGAAUCACGGGCCAAGACUCGUGGAUGAUUGUAACUAUGAAGAUGAGCUGUAGAUACCAAACAUGGGAAUAUACCGGGAAGCUACUAUCCAGCAGUCUUUCUCAAUUUUGUACAGUUGAAGCAAACAGUGCUACAGCAUUAGUGAACAGUGUUACUUAAUAGGAGAUGGUGCUGGAGGCUACAGACAUGAAAUGGCAGACCCCAAUUCCACGCCCCAAAGCACCCAAGCGUUGGCUUGAAUGGGGAUUGUGGAGGCUGUUACACAGAAUUUAACUAUCGCCUUUUCUCCCUUAGCAUUUAGAUAUUCUGGGGGCAAGAGAUUGCCACAGCUUUCCUGCAGCACCUGGAGAACCUGCAUGCGUUUUCCUGAGGGCUGUUGGAGUACCAGUUUUGUUGAUCUCUUAUGGAAAAGAGCCAGCCCUAUAAAUUCUUCUCAGUCUUACGAGCGUGCAUGUGUUGCCAGCAGCUGCACUGCUCUGGACUACAGAACUUGUCUCGGGGAAUUGUGUUUAUCCAUCGGAUGCCCCUUUCAGGCUGUAGAAGCGUGCGAGAAAUCUGGAAGCUGUAGCUGUGGAAGCAGCGUUUGCUUUCGGUGGCUUGCGUUGGGUGUUGUGCGCUGAGCGAUCCCCUAUGCCCUGGCCAGCUCCACGGGCUCCGUCAAGCGCUGCAUCUAACCCAUAGCAUCCAAACAACGCUGCGGAGCCAGGCACUUCACAUCUCUGACCCAGCGCCCGUAUUUCCCUCUGUGCAGGCUCUUUCCCCCCCCGCUUGUUUUGAUGGCUGCAUGGGUGGUUUUCCUUGCUUUCCUUAUGCUAUGAUUGUAGACAUGGCAAAAAUAGGAGAUGUUUAUCCAGACUCAGCGCCAGAGUCCUAAGUUUACAUAUCAGGCUCGCCACUGCUUUGGAAGAGUUUGAGAGAGGAAAGGAAAUUUUAGUUUGUUUUUAUGUUCACAAAGUUAGGGAUUUGGGGUUUAGGGUUUCAUCAUCUUCUAGUAUGGUUUUCUUUUUUGUGAAAGGAUCUAGGUCUUCUCCUCUCCCAUGCACCAGGAAAUGGAAAGUGGCCUGUGGUCUGGAGAGAGAACAUUUGCAAGCAAUUACACCUACUCUUCUUUUCCCCCAAACAGCGCAGUAAGGCUCGGAAGCACUUGCUGGUGGUGCCGGGGCUGUAUAGCCAGCAGCGAGUGGUUCUGGAGCGUUAUGGGCUGGAACUGAAACAGAACAAUUUUGGAUAAUGGCAACUGGAAAUGAGUAGAUGUUGUGUGUAACCACCGGCUCUCGUCCAUCUUAGUCUUCAACAGUUCAGGCCAUUGGGAAGGCUGGUGAGGCUGCUUCGAACUUCUGCAAUCCCAGCAAAGUAGUACACGCAGAGGUGGAGCUUGUGCAAAAUUUGUUUUUAUGUUUUCCAUUCAAAUCUCUUUAGGACCUUUUUCUUCUGCUUUUCUCAAGAAAUACAAAUCAUGCCCUCCUCAGAUAAAAGGAAUGAAGUCUGUGUGCCUUGUGCUUCUGUGGUGUUUUGCUUCUUUGAGCUUUUCGAGUGGCUGGCAUUUUGUCUGUAUGAACAGCACAGCGGUGCAGGGAGACGGAGCAGAAGAUGGUGUUGGUGUUUAGCCUUGCUGAGGGCAAAUGCCGCUGCAGCAGCGUAAUCCGUCGUGCCCAGCGAUUUUGUCGGUGGUAUACGGCAAGCGUGUGUUUUUCUGUGGUUGCAUCAAAGAUUGCAAAGGUGACAUCAAAGCCCGAAUGCACGCAGUCAUGUUGUCACCCUAGAAGCAGCUAAAGCGUACGUUUUGGAAUUGCUUGUGUACUUCUGCGUGAAUGUUUGGCGCAUAUUCGUGCAGUUAAUAUGAGAAGAUAAUACUGGUAUGAAUCCUGUUUUAUUCUUAGAAAUACUCUUGUAAUAUGAUGCAAGUUUAGGUAAAAGAUGUGAUAUGGGGAAAAUAAGCUGCACGUGUAGUUUUAGAAACCAUUUUCUAAGUGUACAUGUAACUUUUCUAUGAUACUUAGCUCAUAUAGUUUAUCAUAUGCUGUGAGUUAGAACUGCCUUGUUCUACUAGACUAGAUACUGAGUUUAAACACAGCUCUUGUGUAAACAUUAUGUGCAUGAAGUACUUUUUUGGACAUCCAGUGUUAACCAGACUGAACGUCUCUCAAUACAAUGGUAUGAAUUGUUCUGAAUUAGCGUUCUCAGGGUAGAAGACAAAAUAUGUAACAUGAAUCUAGCUAGACGGUUAGCUAGGAUGCCUUCCAUCUGUCUUGCUGUCUUUUUUUUUAAAGUCAUUGUUCCAAACUGUAGAUAAGUGAAGUGUCUUUCUUAAAAUAUUACAUUCAAAUUUUUAAUAGUGCCAAAGGUUAAAUUGCUUGCAGCUGUUGCAAAUGCUUUAAUAUAUCCAAAUAAAAAACAUUCUACUGUGCUUAAAUAGAAACAGUUUUCUGACAACAUGAGAGGUGAAAUUAUACUUCCUAGUUAAGGCUGGGAAAAACUUUGUGUUAGGGGUAUCUGUGGACUGUAUAUGCAGGUAUGACAGUGUUUAUUUUUAGGGGGUGCAUCAGGAUUAUGUUCUUUUUGUGCACUGCUAGAGGAGCGGAGGCUGCCUCUGAAAGGCUCUGAAUGCCCUCCGCUUGCACCCUGAUGCUCAGCGCUUCCCAAGAUAGGAUCCGCGCAGUGUCAUGUUAGGGCUGAGCGCUUACGCUAUUUUAAUAAAUAUUUGCAGAGUUGAGCAUAUAACUUUUCCUGAGGCACUAAAGUUGCACGCAAAAAUCCCUGUAGAAGUCAGCGAAUUGGCAUGCGUAUAAUGAGUAGAAGAUGCCAAAAGCCAGGGUCUGUGGAAGGUUGUUCCUAUAGCUUAUUCCUCCCAGAGGAGGAAGGACUGGGGCAUAGAGAGAUAAAUGGAACCAAACAAACAUGGAUAGAUAUCAGCUGUUUAAGCUGAAAGCAGAACUAACAAAAACAAAUUCUUGGCUAUUCUGUUUAUAAAAUAAGGCAAUGUCAUUGGUUACAGCAAGAGCUAUAUUAGCUCUGUGUUAUGUAGCUGUUUUUUGUGUUCCCAAACCCCUGAGUUGCCACGCUGGAACCACAGAUGUUAAUUCCUUGCUGCUCAUCAGUGACCUGGAAACCUCAACGAAACCCACAGUGUAUAUCAGAAUUUUGUUACUCAAAAAUGUUCCCGCUCCAACAUGAAAACACAGCGUUAAGUACAUUUUUUAACCCCAGCCAUAUUCAGGGAAGACCUUCAGCUUGUGAUAAAACUGAAAGUACUUUUGGUGGUCACAUCCUGAGAAAGUGCUUUGAUUGGACUGUUUAUGGUGUUGGUUGUUCCAGAGCAGAGCCUCAUCCGGGAGCGGGUCCGUCGCAGGGCAGCGUCCCGGGGGACUGCUACAGCCACUUUCUGAAACUUGGCAGGCAGGAGGAAGAGAGCUGGACUUCAGCCACCAGAAGAAAAUGUAAAGGUUUAACAUUAACCCUCGGGCUGAAUGAGGUGAAGUUAAUGCUCUCUGGGUUCAGCCAAAGUCGUCUUCAUAUCCUGACUUGUAGCUUCUCCCAGCUAGUCUUGCCUGCGGGAAAGGGAUGUGAUGAUUCCUUUAAUGAGCUAUCUGAAAUCUGGUUUUACUGGGGCUCCUUUUGGCAUGUGUGAAUGCCACCUCGCUUGAAAUUCUCAAGGCGCUCGAGCAUGAAAUUGUAAUUAUUACCUGCCGAGUAAUCUAUUGUUUGAAUUGCUGUGGUGUCAGAGCCAAAAACGAGUCGAAUGCCGCAGUAAUUCUAAACAGGAUCUCGGGGAAGUCUGGGAGCUACAGGCUAUGUCUCUGUGCUGGACAAAUUGAUGUUAUUUUUUGUGAGGCUCUUUCCCAGCGGACACGUAGGCAAAUCGAGUAUGGUGGGAAAGAGUCAGCAGCGCUAUCGGAGAAGGAAGCAGUGUCUCACAGCUGCGCUAUUCGAAGAAGUCAGUGAGUGCAUGAGCAAGGGUUGCACUUGCUGAGACCCUGGCCUCCAGAAAGUUUUGGAUGAGCUUUGGCCAGAUUAAGAGUCAUUGUCCUUAAAGAAACUAAACUGCCAUGGCAUAAGAGGAAAGGACUUUUCUUGGCUUAUGUAAUUGGUUACAAACCAAUUAUAUAAAACAGAUAACCAACAUGAGUUUGGAAUAUGAAGGCGGCUCUGGCGAUAUACAGAAGUGGCAGAGGAAAUCCUACGGGGAUCUGCACUGAACAACAUGACCAUCAACGACCCAAAGAAGGGGAGCGAAGCGGCAAUCUGUUGGUGCGGUUCAGCAACUGCAGUUCAGCGCCGGAGAUAAGGGCAAGGCUGCAGGAAACGCUGUGUGAGGGUAUUUGUUGGGUAAUAGCUGCUGACAGACUCGAAACCUUCUAUCAGAGAUCAGCACUGAAAUCUCAGCGCUUGGAAGUUGAGCCAGACCACGCACAGGGAAGAGCUGCCUUUAGAGCUUCCAUUUUACGUUAUCAUAAAAUGCGCUGCAGGAUCCAGAUCGGGACUGGGACACUCGUACUCGAAGGCGUCAGCACAGAGUGAGCUCUGCCGGGCGAUCUGAAACCUCAGUCCCGAGGUGGGACUGAGAGAAGUUUUCCAGUAAUCAGAACUGAAAUGUCAGCUCUUUUCGUGGGCUCUGGAGUUAAGGGGCAGAUGUGGCUUUCAGCUACCUGAAAUGUGAGUGAAAAGUUGCAGGAAUGAACACGGCUGUUCUUUGUAUGUGUCUCAUCACUGGCUGCAGUCUGUGCUCACCAAUUCUUACAUGAGAAACACCGGCAUUUGAUGAUAUGGACAGCAGGUAGUUCAGAAAACAUCAUGGCUUUGCAACACGAGCAGCGGAUGUUAGCAUACAGCAUAGUUAGACCUGGGUAAUAAGGUGGGUUUGUCAAAAACCCCUAUAGGCAUAGGUCAAAAUAAAUUGGCAAAGUCGAAUGUAAACAGAAAACAGGCAGCCUCUGGGAAAAAUGAUAAGUUUUCACGUGAAACCACAUUUUUAGGAGUAGUGGUUUCCAGGCAGGUUUAAACAAAACAUCUGUAUGAACCUCAUGGGUGAACCUUUGACUGCAUUAAUGUCACUGGGAGUCUUGCCACUGCCUGCAGUAAGACAAGGUUUUACUCCUUGGGAGAUACUUAAUGCCGCUUACCUACCGUCACUGCUGCGUGCGUGCUGCCAGCGUCCUGAACCAGAGCUGCGGCUGCAGGCCGGCAGGCAGAGCAGGAGGGGGGCAGAGCAAGUCAGGGAAUGAAUUAGAGAAGAAAAUAAUCCAAAAACCUUCUCGGUGGGAUUGCAUAGAAAUGACACUCGAGUUAAACUGAUUUAUAGAUAAUAGAGAUAGGUUUUUUUUUUUCCCCCUCUAGGCAGGAAAUAGGUACAAUAUAUGUGAGUAGAAAUAGAAAGGAGUCACAAGAUAAAAAGGGGCAGGUUUGCAAAUUUAUUUGUCAGUGCCCUGAUAAUCCUGAUUACGAGCUAAAAAUUCCUUUCUGCCCUGUAACGCAGAUAAGCAAGUCUCAUGGUUCUGGUGACUAAAACUGUAAAACCUCUGUCCUUGAGCAAUCUUUGUCCGAGUUUCUCUUCCCUUCCGUGGUGUCUGAGCACGCAGGGCGGGAGCCUCGGUGCCCCCCGUCGAGGACAGAGGCUCGAGGUGUCCCGGCGAUGAGGAGACCCAAGCAGCUCCGUCGCAGGGCAGGCUUUUCCUUCUAGGAAGUCACACCUGCGUAAGCGGAGGAGCAGCUGGACAGACAGCUACGUCUUCGAUAUAACGAUCCAGGACGAAAACGAGCCGCUUGGAACGCCGUAGGGCAGCCAUGGCUUCGCACCGCCGCCGCUCGAGCGCUGGGCUGGGACUGGAGAGCAGCAGGGGAACGGAGCUAUUUUGGCUGCUGGCCCAGGGCUGGAGGACUCCAUCCUACAGCAAAUAAACAGCUGGGAGGCUUAAUCUCUUAAAAAAUAAAAUGCAGUAUGUAUUUGGAUAAGCGUUUGUACGCCAAGAUCAAAAACUAACUUGUGUGGAGGCAGAAGGAAACUUGUGUUUUUUUUAAAAAAAAAAAAAAAAAAAAAAAAAAAGGAAAGAAAAGAGGAAAAAAAGGAAAAAGUACUCUACAGAUAUUGUGGUGACCAGAGUGAUGUAAAAACUGAGUAAAGGCAGGGUGGGAGCAGGCACAGAGCUGGGCCCGAGGCGGAUGGUUGCUCUUUGCUGGGCUCCUGCCGCGCCGCGGGUGAGCGUAGCUCGCUGGUGGGAAAGACCUUCCUGCGUGGGCCAAACGCUCCCUCUUUACCUUGCUGUCAGCACUGCGGUGUCCCCUCAGAGGUCCCCUGGCCCUUCGUGACCGUGGCAAGCAGGGGUUGGUGGCUCCUGCGUGUCCGCAGCUCCCUUGAGCGGCUGAAAGCUACUGCAGGUAUUCCCGAAGCUGCAGCGCGGCCAGCUUUCUGUGGCCUUCUGCUUAUCCCGGGGUUUUUCCCCCCUCAAAGAUACAGUUCCUCAAGUUACAGUAUUUUGUAGAAGUCUGCACUAAAAUAAAAAAGGGAUUUUUGGCCCUCAGGAUGAUAAAUACUUGCAACAUUAGCCAAGCAAAUUAACAGUUUCCAAAGUUGGUGGCAAUACAGACUAUUAUUACCUAAAUCUUUUGGCUUCUGGACGCUUUGGUGUGGCUGCGCUGGGCUAAGCAUGCUGUUCUAUUUCAGCAUAGCCUGACUCUUUCUGGAAAAAGAGGAAGGAAAUCUAUAUUUAUCCCAAAGCUUUUCUUUGAAGCCCCUCUUCCUUUCUAUUAUGGUAAUUAGGUAUUUCAGGGAGAAAAAGCUUUCUUCUCUUGAUAAAUUUGUUAAAGUUUUAGAGUAUUGGAGUCCUCGCAAAGACACUAUGGCUAAAUAACGUCUGUGGCACCUGAGUUCUUGCAGGAUGGAAAGUGAUACAGGACUGAGGAACCUGGAUUUGCUGUAGGAGCCCUGAGGUCAUAUUGUAUUUCUUCUUAAAGUAAUUAAAAAAAAAAAAAUGUAACUGCCUGACUUGGUAUAAAGGUAGUAAAACAACAGUUAGUAAUAUAAACUUCAGAGCCUUUUAGUCUUGUGAGUUAAUUUAGUCUAUUAGUGCUAAAACAUCCAGGAAAUAAACCUUCCUUUUGCUGCAGACCGCGGGAGCCUUGUGUAGCGCUCACCUGUACUUUUUAGCUCAUUUGUUAACCGGUGUUUUUCCUGUUUGCUCUCUGCCACGAAGGCUCCUUGCCACCAACAUAAACGCACAGGUUCUGAAAAACGA